AACGAACGCUGGCGGCAUGCCUAACACAUGCAAGUCGAACGAGACCUUCGGGUCUAGUGGCGCACGGGUGCGUAACGCGUGGGAAUCUGCCCUUGGGUUCGGGAUAACAGUUGGAAACGACUGCUAAUACCGGAUGAUGACUUCGGUCCAAAGAUUUAUCGCCCAGGGAUGAGCCCGCGUCGGAUUAGCUAGUUGGUGGGGUAAAGGCCUACCAAGGCGACGAUCCGUAGCUGGUCUGAGAGGAUGAUCAGCCACACUGGGACUGAGACACGGCCCAGACUCCUACGGGAGGCAGCAGUGGGGAAUAUUGGACAAUGGGCGAAAGCCUGAUCCAGCAAUGCCGCGUGAGUGAUGAAGGCCUUAGGGUUGUAAAGCUCUUUUACCCGGGAUGAUAAUGACAGUACCGGGAGAAUAAGCCCCGGCUAACUCCGUGCCAGCAGCCGCGGUAAUAC
rnacentral:rRNA from 1 species